GCAGUGGCUAGCGAUGGCUUCCGCAGCAAGCGGUAGCGGAAGAUGGAGUCAGGUCGGCGAAGAGGAGUGGCGUGGGGUUGACGGCCGUGACGGAGUGGUCGACAUGACCAUGUGCUCACCGGUGAUGCAGGCAGCAGGAAGAGCCAUAGUGGCGGCGGCGCUUCGACGCUUUGACCGAGGGAGAUGAGGGAACAUAGCAGCCGUCAGAGGAGCACAAGUAUUUUCUCGACCACACCUCUCUCUUGUGCACUCUUUCUGAGCCGCUGCCAUCAAAAGGCACACGUACUUCAUGUCCUUUGAUGAGGAGAGCACCCUCGCUGUCAUCCAUCCACGGCUCCGCUAGCCGAUCAAAAAGAGCGACGAGGGGGGAUAGAGGGUCGCAAUGCCAGGCGUACCUCCUUGACGGUGUACUGAAGCACUCUUCUUGCGGUGUACGCUCGCAGGUGGACAAGGAGCACACACAAAUAAAAAGUUGCAGAGAGUCCAUGGAUAUUGGACGGAAAUGAAGCAAUAGAGAGGACAGGCCCUAUAUGGUAAUGUACUGUUAUCAAAGUGAGCCAACUAUUGCCCCAUUUCUUAGUUUGAAUAGUAUGGUUUUGGUGUUUUUCAGAGCCCAACACAUACUACUCAUUUGUCUCUUUGGUUCAGCUACUAAGCGAGGUUGGAUCGAGAGAUGCGCAGCCCGGUGCAUGCAUGCACGAUCAUAUUCAAGCUGAGCCUGCUGAGGAAUGACAAGUUCCAAGGAGGGAUAUCAAAAUGCAAUCCGCUCCUUCCUACUUCAUCUCUCUUUCUUGAAUCAUGGUUGUAUCAGAAUAUUAUGGCUCACACACUUACUCAGGUUCAGUAGAACUUAAUCACUGAGUGUUUUAACUUUUUUGCUAAUCAUACACAGAUCUCCAUUCAUCCGAUGUAAGAACUGUAGAUGCCCAUCCUCUGGUUUGCAGCACAGCUCCACCUCACUAUAUUAGCUUGCAGUAGAAUAUUUGUAUUGUUCUUCAGCUCAUGACUAAAUAAGGGCGCUCCUGUGCUACCUCUCUGUUCGCUUUGGUUCGUCUGAUUGUUGUGUCCCAGGCAUCACAGAGUGCACCACUUCCAGACCAUAAUAAGACUUGAUGGGUGAAAGAAGAGGCGUAGUUAUUAUUUUCUUAAUCUACGAAUAGCGUAGCGGAAAAAACAUGUUUAUAUAAACGAAUUGUUUAACGCCAAGAUGCCAAUAGCAAUGAUGGAUAAAGCAACUCCCACGAGUAGGGCUCGAAAGUCACUUAUUUUUAUAUUGCUUGACCUUAUUUGCCAUGAACCUACCAAACUUCUCAAUUGUAUUGUCAUGGCACAUUACAAGGCUAUAAAUCUCGCUACCAGGAAUAUAUGCAUGAGAGCAUCCCCACUCGUUGGCGCUCCCCACGCCCAAAUCCGGCGAAAUUUUCGUCCGGAUUGGAUCAAUUUUUGGCAUGGGAGGCAGUAUAUUUCCAGUCGUGUGCUCUCCAAGCGGCGUUUCUCGGGGAAAAAGAGGAUGGCCCGGGGAGUCCGGACGAAAGAGGAGACACGUGGGCGUGGGCGGUUGGUUUUGCUCCAUCCGGAGUCCCCGAGAGAUACCCGGGAAAUCGAGGAUGGUCCGGGGAGUCCGGACGAAAUUAGGCCGUUUUCCGGACGAAAAUGAGAACCUGGGGGCGCGACUGAGUCGUUUUUCGCCGUCCGGAUGUAAAAAACUGGGGGGCUUCUCGGGGAGACGAGUGGAGAUGCUCUGACGUUCACUAUGGUUUUAAUUUCUCCGGUAAAAUCUUUUAUGCAAUAAUGUUCCAUUGAAAUGUCAAAAUUGAUCCCAGCCUAAAUCCCUGUCUCUUGUUGAAUGGUUCUCCAGGAAUAAUAGCAGUCUUGAUAUAAACUUGAUAAGUUAUUGUGCAUUGCAGGUCCUCUCCAUAAUUAUCAGAGAAGAUAAAACGUUGUCCUAUAUCUGCCGCACCAUCCUUUGGAGAUGCAAUUCUGAGCCGAUCAAGAAAAAAACUGAUCUGACCAUGAAUAGAUCAUGUAAUGCACACCAGAAGGAGAUCAGGGUGGAGAAAAGAUCUCCAGUGAUGCCGCCUC